GAUGAAGAACGUAGCGAAAUGCGAUAAGUAAUGCGAAUUGCAGAAUCCGUGAGUCAUCGAAUCUUUGAACGCACAUUGCGCCCUUUGGUAUUCCGAAGGGCAUGUCUGUUCGAGCGUCAUUAUCACCCCUCAAGCCCCGGCUUGGUGUUGGGCUCUCGGUGGUCGUCUCCGACCACCCGUCUCAAAGAUAGUGACGGCGUCCCAGAGGGAACCGGUACGAGGAGCUUUCACGAGCAUGUACGCGGGACGACUCUGCGGGCGACGGUCUUAUUUACUUUAUAUACAAGUGUUGACCUCGGAUCAGGUAGGAAUACCCGCUGAACUUAAGCAUAUCAAUAAGCGGAGGA
rnacentral:misc_RNA from 1 species